CGACCUAUGAAAGUAGGUUUCCUUCGAGGGUGCUGCACAGGUGCUGCAUGGCUGUCGUCAGUUCGUGCCGUGAGGUGUUGGGUUAAGUCCCGCAACGAACGCAACCCCUGUGACUAGUUGCCAUCAGGUAAUGCUGGGCACUUUAGUCAGACUGCCCAUUAGUGGAGGAAGGUGGGGACGACGUCAAGUCAGUAUGGCCUUUAUACCCUGGGCUGCACACGUGCUACAAUGGUUGGUACAGAAGGAAGCAAGACCGCAAGGUGGAGCAAAUCCCUAAAGCCAACCCCAGUUCGGAUUGGAGUCUGCAACUCGACUCCAUGAAGCCGGAUUCGCUAGUAAUGGCGCAUCAGCUACGGCGCCGUGAAUACGUUCCCGGGCCUUGUACACACCGCCCGUCACAUCAUGAAAGCCGUCUGCACCCGAAGCCGGUGAGCGAACCUGAAAAGGACGCAGCUGUCUAAGGUGUGGGUGGUAAUUGGGAUGAAGUCGUAACAAGGUAGCCGUA
rnacentral:rRNA from 1 species